CAAACGCUGGCGGCAUGCCUAACACAUGCAAGUCGAACGGACGGAGGCAAGGAACUCUUCGGAGGGAAUUGCCCGAGUUAGUGGCGGAUGGGUGAGUAACGCGUGGGGAACCUACCUCGUAGAGGGGAAUAAUAGUUGGAAACGACUACUAAUACCGCAUAAUGUACAAAGCUCGCAUGAGCCUUGUAAGAAAGAUGGCCUCUGAACAUGCUAUCGCUAUGAGAUGGACCCGCGUCUGAUUAGCUAGUUGGUAAGGUAACGGCUUACCAAGG
rnacentral:rRNA from 1 species